AAACAAGUCCUUCGGGGCUCCUUCGUGAGUCAUAAUAACUUAACGAAUCGCAUGGCCUUGCGCCGGCGAUGGUUCAUUCAAAUUUCUGCCCUAUCAACUUUCGAUGGUAGGUAUAGUGGCCUACCAUGGUGGCAACGGGUAACGGGGAAUUAGGGUUCGAUUCCGGAGAGGGAGCCUGAGAAACGGCUACCACAUCCAAGGAAGGCAGCAGGCGCGCAAAUUACCCAAUCCCGAUACGGGGAGGUAGUGACAAUAAAUACUGAUACGGGGCUCUUUUGGGUCUCGUAAUUGGAAUGAGAACAAUUUAAAUCCCUUAACGAGGAACAAUUGGAGGGCAAGUCUGGUGCCAGCAGCCGCGGUAAUUCCAGCUCCAAUAGCGUAUAUUAAAGUUGUUGCAGUUAAAAAGCUCGUAGUUGAACCUUGGGUCUGGCUGGCCGGUCCGCCUCACCGCGAGUACUGGUCCGGCUGGACCUUUCCUUCUGGGGAACCCCAUGGCCUUCACUGGCUGUGGGGGGAACCAGGACUUUUACUGUGAAAAAAUUAGAGUGUUCAAAGCAGGCCUUUGCUCGAAUACAUUAGCAUGGAAUAAUAGAAUAGGACGUGCGGUUCUAUUUUGUUGGUUUCUAGGGACCGCCGUAAUGAUUAAUAGGGAUAGUCGGGGGCGUCAGUAUUCAACUGUCAAAAGGUGAAAUUUCUUGGAUUUGCUGAAGAACUAACUACUGGCGAAAGCAUUCNCCCAAGGGAUGUUUUUCCAUUAAUUCAAGGGAAACCAAAAAGUUUA
rnacentral:rRNA from 1 species